UCACAAAUGAGUCCUGCACUGACUGCGCAGGUUUUGUCUUUUUCAACAGAUGCUGACAUCGUUUUAUGAAUGCAAACAGUCAAGGAGAGCAGAUGUUGAGUGGUUGCCAGAGUGAAAUGAGGAAGCCCUGCUGCCAGCUUCCCACCAAAAAGCAGGGGCUCUGACCUCCAGUAUCAGCCUUCCAAGGAGAGAAUGGUAGUAUAACCAUGACUGGAGACCAACUGUUCCAGGUAAGAAUAUUUUGGCAGAUUUUAAAAGCAACUCUUACUGGUGUUGAUUGACUUAAAAAUAUUUUAAAAAUAUAAUACAUUAUAAACCUCUUCA
rnacentral:lncRNA from 1 species